rnacentral:rRNA from 1 species
GAGCGAACAGACGAGGAGCUUGCUCCUCUGACGUUAGCGGCGGACGGGUGAGUAACACGUGGAUAACCUACCUAUAAGACUGGGAUAACUUCGGGAAACCGGAGCUAAUACCGGAUAAUAUAUUGAACCGCAUGGUUCAAUAGUGAAAGACGGUUUUGCUGUCACUUAUAGAUGGAUCCGCGCCGCAUUAGCUAGUUGGUAAGGUAACGGCUUACCAAGGCAACGAUGCGUAGCCGACCUGAGAGGGUGAUCGGCCACACUGGAACUGAGACACGGUCCAGACUCCUACGGGAGGCAGCAGUAGGGAAUCUUCCGCAAUGGGCGAAAGCCUGACGGAGCAACGCCGCGUGAGUGAUGAAGGUCUUCGGAUCGUAAAACUCUGUUAUUAGGGAAGAACAAAUAUGUAAGUAACUAUGCACGUCUUGACGGUACCUAAUCAGAAAGCCACGGCUAACUACGUGCCAGCAGCCGCGGUAAUACGUAGGUGGCAAGCGUUAUCCGGAAUUAUUGGGCGUAAAGCGCGCGUAGGCGGUUUUUUAAGUCUGAUGUGAAAGCCCACGGCUCAACCGUGGAGGGUCAUUGGAAACUGGAAAACUUGAGUGCAGAAGAGGAAAGUGGAAUUCCAUGUGUAGCGGUGAAAUGCGCAGAGAUAUGGAGGAACACCAGUGGCGAAGGCGACUUUCUGGUCUGUAACUGACGCUGAUGUGCGAAAGCGUGGGGAUCAAACAGGAUUAGAUACCUGGUAGUCCACGCCGUAAACGAUGAGUGCUAAGUGUUAGGGGGUUUCCGCCCCUUAGUGCUGCAGCUAACGCAUUAAGCACUCCGCCUGGGGAGUACGAC